rnacentral:sRNA from 17 species
CCAAACCAAUACCGGAGGACAGGCAAUCGAGCCUGUGGGGAUUUACCUGCUCAGGCAGGCGGCUGCAUUCGUGCAUCACCGUGCCCGUCAUACCUCAUCCGCGCAUCUUCCGGCGCUCUGGUAUCUAUCG